CAACCCCACCCGGUCGCCUCUCCUUCCCUCCGAGAAGGACAAUGCCGGCUGCUACCGGCGGCCCCGGACGAAGGAAGUGACCUCGAGGUACCUCUCCUCCUACAGUUCUUCCUUCUCCUCUACCACCAGCACCUCAGCUUCAUCUGCGGGACCAGCUGCCACCACUGCUACAUCUUCCUCGUCUUCCUCUUCCACGGCACUUUCCUCCCGACGUUUCCCGUCUCCUCUUCAUACCUCUCGCCCGUCUCCCACUGCGUCCAUGGUGCUCCAACCGUCCACCGCCAAGCGCUCCCAAUCCGUUGACCGGACUCGGGCUGCUGCUCCACGUCUGGAUCCCACCAGGUCCAAUCCCAGCAGGUCCAACAAUUGUGUAACCACGGAGAUCUCCUCCGCAAGCAGACCCCUCCGCACAACGCGGACCCUUUCUGUAUCCUUCCAAGGGGAAUCCUUCGUCUUCCAGACUAGCAGGGUUAAGAAUGAUACCCCAGGCUCCACAAGGAAGCCAACCCCAGAUCGUCGGAGGUAUUCUGCUAUUCCUAUGAGAAAUGGCAUGAUUGAUGGCGGGGAAGACGGUGACAUUGGGCGUCAAAUGGAGAAUUCAAGGUCUGGGGACUACAACCGUUGGCCCGCAGCACAAACUGGAAAUUCGAACCCACUGACAAAGAGCUUGGACUAUUCUCUGAAUAAGGGAGGAUCUAUUUUUCGAACUGCCAAUUUUAUGCAGCAUUCGAUUGUAUUUGAUGAGGCAGGACAUGAAUCAUAUGAUGCUGGUGAUCUGUCU
rnacentral:lncRNA from 1 species